GUCGGGAAUAUUGGUCAAUGGGGGAAACCCUGAACCAGCAAUGCCGCGUGAGUGACGAAGGUCUUCGGAUUGUAAAGCUCUGUCCUUGGGGAAGAUAAUGACGGUACCCAAGAAGAAAGCCACGGCUAACUACGUGCCAGCAGCCGCGGUAAUACGUAGGUGGCAAGCGUUGUCCGGAAUUAUUGGGCGUAAAGGGCGAGUAGGCGGCCGAUUAUGUCAGAUGUGAAAGGCUAGGGCUUAACCCUAACAUGGCAUUUGAAACUGAUUGGCUUGAGUGUAGGAGAGGGAAGCGGAAUUCCUAGUGUAGCGGUGAAAUGCGUAGAUACUAGGAGGAACACCAGUGGCGAAGGCGGCUUCCUGGCCUACAACUGACGCUGAUGCGCGAAAGCGUGGGGAGCAAACAGG
rnacentral:rRNA from 1 species